GAUGAACGCUGGCGGCGUGCCUAAUACAUGCAAGUCGAGCGAACAGACGAGGAGCUUGCUCCUCUGACGUUAGCGGCGGACGGGUGAGUAACACGUGGAUAACCUACCUAUAAGACUCGGAUAACUUCGGGAAACCGGAGCUAAUACCGGAUAACAUGUUGAACCGCAUGGUUCAACAGUGAAAGACGGUCUUGCUGUCACUUAUAGAUGGAUCCGCGCCGCAUUAGCUAGUUGGUAAGGUAACGGCUUACCAAGGCAACGAUGCGUAGCCGACCUGAGAGGGUGAUCGGCCACACUGGAACUGAGACACGGUCCAGACUCCUACGGGAGGCAGCAGUAGGGAAUCUUCCGCAAAGGGCGAAAGCCUGACGGAGCAACGCCGCGUGAGUGAAGAAGGUCUUCGGAUCGUAAAACUCUGUUAUUAGGGAAGAACAAAUGUGUAAGUAACUAUGCACGUCUUGACGGUACCUAAUCAGAAAGCCACGGCUAACUACGUG
rnacentral:rRNA from 1 species